CUAUGCGCCUUGCCAGCCCGCUCAGGUGUGCCAGCCGCGCGGUAAUACGGAGGAUGCGAGCGUUAUCCGGAUUUAUUGGGUUUAAAGGGUGCGUAGGUGGUUAAUUAAGUCAGCGGUGAAAGUUUGUGGCUCAACCAUAAAAUUGCCGUUGAAACUGGUUGACUUGAGUAUAUUUGAGGUAGGCGGAAUGCGUGGUGUAGCGGUGAAAUGCAUAGAUAUCACGCAGAACUCCGAUUGCGAAGGCAGCUUACUAAACUAUAACUGACACUGAAGCACGAAAGCGUGGGAUCAAACAGG
rnacentral:rRNA from 1 species